AUGGAUACCAAACUAAGCUUUACUCAUUGAGUAUUGAUUUGUCGUCCCCACCUCACCCUUGCUUCUUAUGAGUACCAUCCCUCUUCUUACAAAUUCAGGUCCAGUGGGCAAACAAGGAGCAUCUUACCAAAGUGAACAAAUAUCCAAGUGUCUGCCUUUUGACCUGAAUCUGUUCAUGUGUUGGCACUUCGGUAAAGACAGAAGAGAAACUCCAGGAGGACAGGAGGAGACAUCUUUGUGUGGUAACAUGUGUAUUGGUGUCUUUCUGUCGCUAGAGCAAAGACCUAACAAAAUGGGUAUGGAAUUGGGUGGCAGUAGAUCUGGGAGGAGUUAGGGAGAGGGGAUAAAUAGAAUCAAAGUAUAACAGGUGAUACUCUCAAGGACUUAAUAAUGUGUUUUAAGAGGUACCUUAUGGAAAGAAUGACUUACUUGUCCUUUGUUCUUUAAGAGGAAGAUGUGUUUUAUAAAUAGAAGCAAGAAAUUGAAGACUCAACCUUACUUGCACAACACACCAUGAGAAAAUUUGGAUUUCUACCUAUAUCAUAUGUGUAAAUUACUUCAAAGUGGAUCAGAACACUAAAUAUAAGACUUAAAAUUAAGCUCUUGGAGAAAAUAUUAGGGAAGGUCUCUAAGACAUGGAAUUUGGUGAUAAAUUCUUGGCUAUGAUAUGAUUUGAGAAAGUUGAGUCCAGCAGUGUGUGCAUGUGUGGAGGGCAGUAGGAGCAUGAGAUUGCUGGUCAUGUUGAUCAACAGUCAGGAAGUGGAAAGAAAUGGAUGCUGUUGGUUUUGUUCUCCAUUGAGGUUCAUUCCUGAAUCUUUGCCUUUGUCUGAGUCUUACCCUGGUGGCUCUGCAACUAAAUAACUAGAAAGAGAACAUGUACAGCAGAUGGAACUGGACUUAUGAUAGGCCUCUGCCCAGAUCGGCCCAUCAGUAAGCCUAUUAUAAACUACAAGACUGUAUCAAAAUGUCAAUUUAACCACACAGCAUCCUGCAGUCUUACUAUUUUCCUUUGGUAUCUCACAGCUGCUGACCAGCAUCAUGUCUGAGUAUCACUGUGCUCAGUAAGAGAUCAGAAUUCAAAAUCUCAAUUAUGACUCCACCAAGUGCCUGGCAUUUUUCAGAAAACAUAUCAAACCAUUUACAUGGAUGAUCCUUUGUAUAUUGUACUAAUCAUUGAUGGCCUAUAUCUGUUGCUAUGGAAUGAGCACACAUAUUCUCCAAAAUUCAUUUUUAAAAUGUUAACAAUCAAGGUGCAUCUUCACUGUGGGCUUGCAACUUUCUGAAUUAUAGAAAAUACAUUAUAUCUGUGAGAAGGUGUCAGUGCUGUCCUGGAAUCCACCGUAUAGCUCAUGGUAACCUCAACUUAAUGGUGAUCCCCCUGUCUUGGCCUCCAGAACGCUGGGAUUACAGAUAUGAGUAUAUCCAUUUAUUCAAAGCAACACCCUUAAGUGCCUCAUGAUCGGCUAAUGCAUUCAGAAAUAUUCUCAGUACUGGGGAUAUUCUCAAUAUGGAGAUGAAAAAGAAGCAGUCCUUGAAGUUAAUGACACUAAUAUCCAGAGGGAGCUUCAGAGACCCAGAGAUGACACAGAUCUGCUGGAAAUCAUGCAGCUAGCUGAUGCAGAGCUUCCUGCUUCAGGUCACUCAAACUCUCAUGAUUCCUGACAGCUAUUGGCAAGAUUCAUUGAUUUCUUAGUCUAUCACUAAAAUAAACAUGUGCUAUCAUAUCA
rnacentral:lncRNA from 1 species